rnacentral:tRNA from 1 species
ACUGUAGUGGCGGAAUGGUAGACGCUGGAAGACUUAGUGCUUCCUGCUCAUGAGAGCGUACAGGUUCAAAUCCUGUCUACAGUC